AGCGAAUCUAACGUUGCUGAUCAUGAUCAUGAUAACGAUAAUGAUGAUUUUGCUUUUGAAUUUAGCGGAUAUGAAAUAAUGGAGAAAAGUACAAUAGCAGCUGACGAGUUAUUUGAUGGCGGGAAAAUCAAAUUAAAGCAAGUAAUGGUACCUAUUGAUUCGCCGAAAAUGAAAAAAAACGACAAAGAUAGUGUAAAUUCUGAACCAAAUUCUUCUAUGAGAGUAUCGGGUGUUUUGUUAAUCAAUGAAAAUGCGGAGAAAACAGAGUCCUCUGUUUCGUCGUUAUGGAAAAGAAGAUGGAAAUUGAAAGAUUUAUUGUUGUUUAGAAGUGCUUCUGAGAGUCGAGCUAGUAGUAAUACGAUAGAGAUGAGUAAGUAUGCGUUG
rnacentral:misc_RNA from 1 species